rnacentral:rRNA from 1 species
GAUGAACGCUGGCGGCGUGCCUAAUACAUGCAAGUCGAGCGAACAGAUGAGGAGCUUGCUCCUCUGACGUUAGCGGCGGACGGGUGAGUAACACGUGGAUAACCUACCUAUAAGACUGGGAUAACUUCGGGAAACCGGAGCUACUACCGGAUAAUAUAUUGAACCGCAUGGUUCAAUAGUUAAAGACGGUUUUGCUGUCACUUAUAGAUGGAUCCGCGCCGCAUUAGCUAGUUGGUAAGGUAACGGCUUACCAAGGCAACGAUGCGUAGCCGACCUGAGAGGAUGAUCGGCCACACUGGAACUGAGACACGGUCCAGACUCCUACGGGAGGCAGCAGUAGGGAAUCUUCGGCAAUGGGCGAAAGCCUGACGGAGCAACGCCGCGUGAGUGAUGAAGGUCUUCGGAUCGUAAAACUCUGUUAUUAGGGAAGAACAAAUGUGUAAGUAACUAUGCACGUCUUGACGGUACCUAAUCAGAAAGCCACGGCUAACUACGUG